GACGAACGCUGGCGGCGUGCUUAACACAUGCAAGUCGAACGGAAAGGCCCUGCUUUUGUGGGGUGCUCGAGUGGCGAACGGGUGAGUAACACGUGAGUAACCUGCCCUUGACUUUGGGAUAACUUCAGGAAACUGGGGCUAAUACCGGAUAGGAGCUCCUGCUGCAUGGUGGGGGUUGGAAAGUUUCGGCGGUUGGGGAUGGACUCGCGGCUUAUCAGCUUGUUGGUGGGGUAGUGGCUUACCAAGGCUUUGACGGGUAGCCGGCCUGAGAGGGUGACCGGCCACAUUGGGACUGAGAUACGGCCCAGACUCCUACGGGAGGCAGCAGUGGGGAAUAUUGCACAAUGGGCGGAAGCCUGAUGCAGUAACGCCGCGUGCGGGAUGACGGCCUUCGGGUUGUAAACCGCUUUCGCCUGUGACGAAGCGUGAGUGACGGUAAUGGGUAAAGAAGCACCGGCUAACUACGU
rnacentral:rRNA from 1 species